rnacentral:misc_RNA from 1 species
UUUUCCUCACUUUUCCCUAGGCUGCUUAAGCAUUUUUUAUAAUAAUUAUAUAUUUUUUUCUAGGUCAUCAGCAGUACAAUCACUGGUAAUGCAUAUUAUACACUUGUGAUUCUCCCCAAAUACUUUCAGAAUGUUUCCUGCUUUCCACCAAUUUCAAAAUCCCAAAGAAAUCAAUUAACUGCAAGUGCAAGUCCUCCCACUUCACAGAUAGAUGACUCAUAACUCAAUUAAAAUCAUGCAAUUGAAGAACAAGGAGAUCAGCACUACAAAAUCAAGUUUACUGUGUUCUCUUUAAUUGUGACUGCAUAAAAACACAAGUGUCCGUUUGGUUUGCAUUAAG